AGGAGUGUUGCUAGCAGAAUGAUCAGAGAUAGAAGAGGUAGAUGCUAGAUGUUCCAAGCUACAUGGAUGUUGAUGACAUGGUUCCCCAAGAACAACAGAACAGGGUUGGUUAUUCCUGCAUUUUCCGGUUCACUAGCUAGAUCCAAAGAUUUAGCAGGAAGCUCUAUGUCAAUUGGCAAGUGCUCUUUGCUUACUAUUCUUGAUGAAGAAUGUUGGCUCGCCAACCAGAAUUCUCUAUAAUGUGCAGGUCAUAUCGUAGAAUAUUGUACAACUCUUGAUGGUCG
rnacentral:lncRNA from 1 species